UGAUAGAAAAAUAAAAGGGGAAGGCAAAAAUUAGAGUGGGAGUGACGGAGAGGGAGAGUCCGAACCAAAGGGAGCCAGAGGAUGAGAAGGAGAGGAGAGGGGAAGGGAAGGAAGAGGCGUUGCCGGUGAUGAACACAGCCACCGUCGCCGUUGUCUGACCGCCACACCACCAAACCCUAGCCGUCAUAGAGGAGAGGGUGAUCGAAGUAGAGAAGCAUCGCGUGAAGGAGGGAAGUUCCAUCGCCGGCGCUGCUGUUAGUGGAAGCCGCUACCACCGCAGCGGGGAAAACGAACAUGGGAGAAGAGGUUUCGUUGAUGUUGUCACAGAGGAAGAGGACGAGACGUGUGUGAGAGAGUGACGCACCGAGGAGGGACCAUUCCUCUGCCGCUGCCGCCGCCGGAAUUUCUGGUUGCCGCCAUGAUUAAUGUUUGUCCCAAUUGGAGCCACUGGCGAAGGUGUUGCCGUGCCGGAAGCCAACGCCGGGCUGUUGCUGGUUCUGAUUCUAUUAUCUUGGGCUGUUUCUGCCCUUGACUACAUUAGAUUCAAAUUCUUUUCCUGGUGCAACCAUCAUCAUUGCCGCGAAAUUAAAGCUGUUGCUGUUCCAGCGGUGUCCUUGAUUGCAUUAGGAUUGUUGUCACUGCUGUAAAUUAGAAACGAAACGGGGGCAGUUGUGUUCAAAUUCUGCAAUUGCGACAUCGAGUGACAGGUUUGAAGACGCAAUUUGAAGCUGCAAGCGAUUAGUAGGCUUUCUUUAUGGUUUUAAUUGCUUUCAUAGAGUCACCUCGCUCUUUUCCUUUGAGGUUUUAUUUUAACAGAGGGGUAGGUGUUGUAUUUGGGUUUAUAUGACUUCUUAUGUAUAAGAAUUACUAUUAAUAAUACUUAUGUGAUUGUUAUUAUUAUUUGCAA